rnacentral:rRNA from 1 species
CAGCCGCCACGGGAAUACGAAGGGGGCUAGCGUUGUUCGGAAUUACUGGGCGUAAAGCGCACGUAGGCGGAUAUUUAAGUCAGGGGUGAAAUCCCGCAGCUCAACUGCGGAACUGCCUUUGACACUGGGUAUCUUGAGUAUGGAAGAGGUUAGUGGAAUUGCGAGUGUAGAGGUGAAAUUCGUAGAUAUUCGCAGGAACACCAGUGGCGAAGGCGGCUAACUGGUCCAUAACUGACGCUGAGGUGCGAAAGCGUGUGGAGCAAACAGGAUUAGAUACCCGCGUAGUCCCUGUCUCUUAUAC